UAGGGAAUCUUCCACAAUGGACGCAAGUCUGAUGGAGCAACGCUUUCGUGAGUGAAGAAGGUUUUCGGACCGUAAAGCUCUGUUGUUGGUGAAGAAGGAUAGAGGUAGUAACUGGCCUUUAUUUGACGGUAAUCAACCAGAAAGUCACGGCUAACUACGUGCCAGCAGCCGCGGUAAUACGUAGGUGGCAAGCGUUGUCCGGAUUUAUUGGGCGUAAAGCGAGCGCAGGCGGAAGAAUAAGUCUGAUGUGAAAGCCCUCGGCUUAACCGAGGAAUUGCAUCGGAAACUGUUUUCUUGAGUGCAGAAGAGGAGAGUAGAACUCCAUGUGUAGCGGUGGAAUGCGUAGAUAUAUGGAAGAAUACCAGUGGCGAAGGCGGCUCUCUGGUCUGCAACUGACGCUGAGGCUCGAAAGCAUGGGUAGCGAACAGGAUUAGAUACCCUGGUAGUCCAUGCCGUAAACGAUGAGUGCUAAGUGUUGGGAGGCUUCCGCCUCUCAGUGCUGCAGCUAACGCAUUAAGCACUCCGCCUGGGGGAGUACGACCGCAAGGUUGAA
rnacentral:rRNA from 1 species